rnacentral:sRNA from 1 species
UUGCGUGAAGGAUAGCAGUGGAAAUCCUUUUGUUGUUGCCUUGAGCGCAGCCGAAAGGCAACAACAAAAGAUUGUAACGAAUAGCCUGACCCUUU